CAGCGUUGUGUUAAGUGUCAGGGGGCCACUGUGUCAGCAAGCUGACAGGGAAACUGAGGCAAGAUGUCGGGCCGGAGCGGGAAGAAGAAAAUGUCCAAGCUGUCCCGUUCAGCCAGGGCCGGUGUGAUCUUCCCAGUGGGGAGGCUGAUGCGGUACCUAAAGAAAGGGACGUUCAAGUACCGGAUCAGCGUGGGCGCUCCCGUCUACAUGGCGGCAGUCAUCGAGUACCUGGCAGCGGAAAUCCUAGAAUUGGCUGGGAAUGCUGCCAGGGACAACAAGAAGGCCCGGAUAGCCCCAAGACACAUCCUGCUGGCAGUUGCCAAUGACGAGGAGCUGAACCAGCUGCUGAAAGGAGUGACCAUCGCCAGCGGAGGCGUUCUGCCCAGAAUUCACCCCGAACUGCUGGCCAAAAAGCGAGGGACCAAAGGCAAGUCAGAAACGAUCCUCUCCCCACCCCCAGAGAAAAGAGGAAGGAAGGCCACGUCAGGCAAGAAGGGGGGCAAGAAAUCCAAGGCUGCCAAACCACGGACGUCCAAAAAGUCCAAACCAAAGGACAGCGAUAAAGAAGGAACUUCAAAUUCCACCUCUGAAGAUGGGCCAGGGGAUGGAUUCACCAUCCUGUCUUCUAAGAGCCUUGUUCUAGGGCAGAAGCUGUCCUUGACCCAGAGUGACAUCAGCCAUAUUGGCUCCAUGAGAGUAGAGGGCAUCGUCCACCCAACCACAGCCGAAAUCGACCUCAAGGAAGACAUAGGUAAGGCCUUGGAAAAGGCUGGGGGGAAAGAGUUCUUGGAAACUGUAAAGGAGCUUCGCAAAUCCCAAGGUCCUUUGGAAGUUGCUGAAGCCGCCGUCAGCCAAUCCAGUGGACUUGCAGCCAAAUUUGUCAUCCACUGUCACAUCCCUCAGUGGGGCUCCGACAAAUGUGAAGAACAGCUUGAAGAGACCAUCAAAAACUGCCUGUCGGCGGCAGAGGACAAAAAGCUCAAGUCCGUCGCGUUCCCUCCUUUCCCCAGUGGCAGAAACUGCUUUCCCAAACAGACGGCAGCCCAGGUGACCCUCAAAGCAAUCUCGUCCCACUUCGACGACUCGAGUGCAUCCUCGCUGAAGAACGUGUACUUCCUGCUCUUUGACAGCGAGAGCAUCGGCAUCUACGUGCAGGAGAUGGCCAAGCUCGACACCAAGUAGCUGCUGCGCCCCCCCAGCAGGGACCACCGGAGGAUUAGAGUCACCAGAGUGGGGUUUUAUUUUUUAAAAGGAGAGAGGAAGGGUGCGGCAGGGGAGUUGCAGGGGCUGGAAGGGCAGCAGGCGGUGGAGGCAGCGGGAGCGGGUGCUGCCCGGAAGGAGCCCUCUGCGUUUGCUCCUCGGAAAGAGCCUCAGUCGUAAUUAACCAGGUCUCCACGCAGGGGUUCUUUCCAUGUGUCCUUCCUGUUGUUUUAGAACUUUUUAAAAAAAAACAGACCUCGUUUUAGAUUUAUAGCAUUGACUUUUACACACACUCACAAAAAAAUCCUUUCAAAAUCCUUAAAUCUUCUGUUCCUCCUUUUUCCAAGGGAAAAGGACAUAAAAGUGACUCGGGCUUUGUUGGUUGUCUGCAUCCCAUGGAGAGAAGAAAAUGGGAAAGACAUUUCACUGGUGCUUUUCUCUUUUGUUUAGUGCCCCCCACCCCCACCCCCAUAAUAUCUGUAACUACUCCUCAAGAGUUUUUGCUUCAGGCUUUUUUUUGUUUCAUUUUGUUUUUUAAAGAAAAAAAAAAUGAAAGGAAAAAAUAAAA